CAGUAGCCACGGUAAAACGGAGGGUGCAAGCGUUAAUCGGAAUUACUGGGCGUAAAGCGUGCGUAGGCGGUUCGUUAAGUCUGUUGUGAAAGCCCCGGGCUCAACCUGGGAAUGGCAAUGGAUACUGGCGAGCUAGAGUGUGUCAGAGGAUGGUGGAAUUCCCGGUGUAGCGGUGAAAUGCGUAGAGAUCGGGAGGAACAUCAGUGGCGAAGGCGGCCAUCUGGGACAACACUGACGCUGAGGCACGAAAGCGUGGGGAGCAAACAGGAUUAGAGACCCGCGUAGUCCCUGUCUCUUAUAC
rnacentral:rRNA from 1 species